GACGAACGCUGGCGGCGUGCUUAACACAUGCAAGUCGAACGGGCCUGCCUGGCUUUGGUUGGGUGGGUGAGUGGCGAACGGGUGAGUAACACGUGAGUAACCUGCCCUCUUCUCUUGGAUAACUGCUUGAAAGGGCGGCUAAUACGGGAUGUUCUGGCUGCCUCGCAUGGGGUGGUUUGGAAAGAUUCGGCCUGGUUUUGGUUGUUUUGGUGGGGGAUGGGCUCGCGGCUUAUCAGCUUGUUGGUGGGGUGAUGGCCUACCAAGGCGGUGACGGGUAGCCGGCCUGAGAGGGUGGACGGUCACACUGGGACUGAGACACGGCCCAGACUCCUGCGGGAGGCAGCAGUGGGGGAUUUUGCACAAUGGGCGCAAGCCUGAUGCAGCGACGCCGCGUGAGGGAUGGAGGCCUUCGGGUUGUGAACCUCUGUCGCCGGUGAUGUAGGCUCUGCUUUGUGGGUGGGGUUGACGGUAGCCGGGGUAUGAAGUGCCGGCUAACUACGUGCCAGCCGCCGCCGUAACAC
rnacentral:rRNA from 1 species